UUGAUACACUCAUACAUCUAUAUUGCUGUCAAAAUGUGCAUUUGACAAUUAAAUUUCCAGCUAAAAGCUCUAUUUUUUGACACCGAUGCACUCACACAACCAAUCGACAUCAGUUGUCAAAAAAUCAGGAGUACCAACUUGACCACUAUCUCCUUGUCGCCGAGUCUGGCGCUGAGUGCUCGGCGCGGAAACCCAAAGGUGGGAAUAAAAUUUUGGGGCUUAUGCGCAAUACUAGAAAUUUUACUUGUCUGCAAAAACGUCGUCCUCCUGAGUUUUUCCAUUCUGCUGCCAUUCGAGUUGUGCCAUUGUUCGUGUUAAGACGUGUAUUUAGAUAUAUUUUUAUCGUCCCUAACAUCACAAGCAUAUUUCUCGAACCUCCGAACCACACUUUUUAAAUGAACAUAAACUGUGAAUCUUUCCUAAAUAACACAUUUGUGCAGGAAAACAAUCCCAGCGUUAAUUUCGUUUUUUUGGAACAUAAAUAAUCACCGGAUCCCUACCAGCGGACCGGAAAUGCAAGCGGAAUCGGUCGAGACGGCAAUUCCUUUCCAACUGAGUCGAGUGUUCGGUGCCGCUUGUUCCACGGCCGCUAGUUCUUGAUGAGAUUUUGUCAACACACUGUGAGAUUCGUUGGCGCAGCGAACCACCCAGUUGACCGCUGCAAGAAGCGCAGCUGCAGCUCUGAUUCGAUGUCGGUUCCAGUAUCAUCCGGAUAGCAGAGUUGAAUUCAAAAGAUCUUUAUGUAUACCGAGAUGCAUACUGUGACUGGCCAUUAUUUCUAUAUUGAUCCGGAGCUGGUAGAUUACAGUUAUAAAUCCUUACUGUUAGCUGUUAGUGACGAGUCCAAGAAGCGGGGAGAUGUUAUCUCUAAGGAUAUUAAUCAUCUGAAUUGUUGAUGAAUUCAAAGCAGGAUGAUGAAUAAUCCUCAGGUCAUAAGGCAUUCCCAAGAAGGAGGAAAAGCAAACAGAUAUUGAGAGUGAGCAGAGAUAGGAAUAAACCGAGGAAACAAAAAAAUUCAAUUUAAUGAAGAUGGACGAAAAGUUUAAACAGGUCCAAACGACGGAGUUGGUGAAGAACAACCGUCCGCGGAGUGGCUGAAUAAUAAUUCGGAUAAAGAUAUUGAUUUGAAAGAUAUGUUCCCGAACUUUGAUGUGUCUGCUGCGAAUGAAAGUUUGUUUCGCGUUAUUAAUCUGAAGCUGCCCCUGAUGAAUCUUUUAUACAGCUGGUGCUGCUAUACCAUCAUCCAAGGUGCCACAACAUCUGGAAUGGCAUGUCGUUAAACUUGUGCCUUUAUUAUCCGCUAAGUGGUAAUCCAGUUCCUGAUGCGAGUGACGUUCGUUUCACCAUACUGCACCGAACUUGCUGCUGAUGGAUAUAUUAGUACGUUCGUUCCAACAGGUGCCAACUAGCAUCUGUUCCGAUUUCGGUUCCGAACCUACAUGCCACCAUUCUUACAGUAAUGUACUGUCAGGGAUUCAACAACAUUAAUGAUUUUAUGUAA